rnacentral:rRNA from 1 species
UACAGAGGUCUCAAGCGUUGUUCGGAUUCAUUGGGCGUAAAGGGUGCGUAGGCGGCACGGUAAGUCGGGUGUGAAAUCUCGGAGCUUAACUCCGAAACUGCAUUCGAUACUGCCGUGCUUGAGGACUGGAGAGGAGACUGGAAUUUACGGUGUAGCGGUGAAAUGCGUAGAUAUCGUAAGGAAGACCAGUGGCGAAGGCGGGUCUCGUGGACAGUUCCUGACGCUGAGGCACGAAGGUCAGGGGAGCAAACGGG